rnacentral:rRNA from 1 species
UACGUAGGGGGCGAGCGUUGUCCGAAGUUACUGGGCGUAAAGCGCGCGUAGGCGGUUCUUUAAGUCUGGGGUGAAAGGUUCAGCGCUCAACGCGAACAGUGCCCUGGAGACUGGGGGACUUGAGUGUAGGAGGGGGCAGUGGAAUUCCUGGUGUAGCGGUGAAAUGCGCAGAUAUCAGGAAGAACACCCGUGGCGAAGGCGGCUCUCUGGGACGGUACUGACGCUGAGACGCGAAAGCGUGGGGAGCGAACAGG